CUCCGGGCUCGUGUGAACGCUCGGGCUUAAUACUAUUUUAGGAAGAUCUUUUNCCNAGUCCGACCCNAUUCAUUUUCUUACACCGUGCACACACUUCUUUAUCGAUGAAGAACGCAGCGAAUUGCGAUAAGUAAUGUGAAUUGCAGAAUUCAGUGAAUCAUCGAAUCUUUGAUUGCACCUUGCACUCUUUGGUAUUCCGAAGAGUAUGUCUGUUUGAGUGUCAUGAAACUCUCAACCCCCCUAUUAUUGUAAGGAGAGGGGCGUGGGCUGGGAUAAGGGUUGCCGGUGGGCGAAAUUGCGGGCUCACCNGAAAUACACGAGCAACCUUACGGAAAUAAACGGUUGGACUUGGCGUAAUAAUUAUUUCGCUAAGGACGUUUUCUUCAAUUAUAAGAGGUGCUUCUAAUUCGCUUCUAAUAGAAUUUAAAGCUUGAGACCACAAAUCAGCCNGGCACUNCCCGCUGAACUNAAGCAUAUCAA
rnacentral:rRNA from 1 species